rnacentral:rRNA from 1 species
GAUGAACGCUGGCGGCGUGCCUAAUACAUGCAAGUCGAACGCAUAGCGAAAGGUGCUUGCACCUUUCAAGUGAGUGGCGAACGGGUGAGUAACACGUGGACAACCUGCCUCAAGGCUGGGGAUAACAUUUGGAAACAGAUGCUAAUACCGAAUAAAACUUAGUGUCGCAUGACACAAAGUUAAAAGGCGCUUCGGCGUCACCUAGAGAUGGAUCCGCGGUGCAUUAGUUAGUUGGUGGGGUAAAGGCCUACCAAGACAAUGAUGCAUAGCCGAGUUGAGAGACUGAUCGGCCACAUUGGGACUGAGACACGGCCCAAACUCCUACGGGAGGCUGCAGUAGGGAAUAUUCCACAAUGGGCGAAAGCCUGAUGGAGCAAUGCCGCGUGUGUGAUGAAGGCUUUCGGGUCGUAAAGCACUGUUGUAUGGGAAGAACAGCUAGAAUAGGAAAUGAUUUUAGUUUGACGGUACCAGAACAGAAAGGGACGGCUAAAUACGUG